rnacentral:lncRNA from 1 species
CGAGCGCCUUGAUGUGUCCGUUGGCGACAGCGUCGUCAAAGGUGUGGCCCACCCAUGGACCCUGGUCGCCAUAGUGGUCGUGUAAAAGGCGCAUUACGCUGACGUGCCCAUUAAAGACGGCGUUGGACAUGCCGCGGUGGGUGGCCGUCCCAAGGCCCAAGCGCAGCAGGACGCGCAAGAGGUCGAUCCUACCAUUGCACGCCUCAGAGUCUUGCACCGCGUGGUUGGCAUAGGCGGCGACGGCCGUCUCGCGGCCCCAUUUGUUGACGCAGGCAACAAAGGCGUCGAUGCUCUGGCCUUGGGCCUUGGAGAGUUGCCGUAGCGCCAGGGCGAUGCGCGUCGGAGCCACCGGUCCGUCACCACCCGGUGUUUCGAGGUCGCCCUCGCCGAGGUCACCACGUAAUGCCAGUGCGCGGCACAGACGCGCGCGAUCGUCGCCCAGUGCCGUCUGCAGCGCAUAGCGCACAUCUGCCGCCGAUGCAUGUUCCAAGAGAAUGGCUGUAACGGUGUUGUGGCCGCCCGCCAAGGCACGACGCAGGGCCGGGCCGAUACGACAGUGGUCGGGCGCGCGCACGCACAAAAAGGACGCCGUGGCCGCGUGGCCCGCAGACGCUGCCCUUUUGAGAGCGCGCGGGCUCGGACGCGCAUCAGAAUGGUCGGCCAGGUAGGUCAGAGCGGCGAGGGCUCCCCGCCGCGCAGCGUCGUCCAUGGCGUCGGGUCCGACAACAGCGGUGCCCCGACGUCCGACCAUAUAGGCGAGCAUUCUCACGUCAUUGUUGACCGCGGCCGAUGCCACCGGUUCAUUGUGAUUGUGGCCGCGGUGCCGCUGUCCCGCCGGCACGCCGUCGUCUGUGAGGCGCGCGCCAUGCUUUUCGUGCAGGAGGCGCACGAGCGCCAUGCGGCCGCGGCUGACCGCAUAGACGAGCGCCCGGUCGACGGCAUGCUGCACCUUGUCGGGUGCGAUGAGACCCGAAUCGAGCACCUGCCUCAUUUUGGCAUAGGCCUGUCGGUCUGUUUUGUUGUGACGUUGCUUUUGCCGCAUCUGGGCAAGCGUGUCGUUUGUGCCCUGGAUGUCAUCGUCAUCAUCAUCGUUGUCGUCGUCCAUGUGGCCAUCCACGGAAUCACCGAUAGGAUCAUCCGUGUCAUUGUCCUCGACAUCGCUGUCAUUUCGUUGGUCGUCACUUUGUUGAUCUCUAUCGCCCUCUUCAUCCUCAUCGUCCGUGUCGGCGUCACCAUAAUAGUCUGGUUCUUUCAGGGUGUCGGUCCACAGAGCGCGGGCGCGCCAUCGGACGGCCGAGUCGGGAACAUAGCGUGCAAGCACUUCGGGCGAGCAUGCCCUGCCGCCGGCCUCAAACACGCGCAAAGCGAGAUCGACGCGGCCGCGGCAUACCGUCUGCGAUACAAUGUCGUCGUCGGGCCACCAGGACCCCAGCGACACGGCGACGUUGCCUCUGUCAAGAAGGUACUCGGCCAUGUCGGUGUGGCCGUUGGCAGCGGCCAAAAGCACGGCAAAGUCAGUGUGCCCGUAACCGCGUGCACCAAGGAGCACAUCGAGCGCACGACGAUGGCCUCGCUUGGCGGCAGCGUCGCCGAUGGCGCACAGGCAGAGAGGCACGCGGAUCGUCGUGCCGUCGGUCCGACGUUGGUCAACAACGCGCGAGGGUCCACACGACGGGCACGGCUCGCCGGGACGCUUGGGUCCGUCGUAGCGGCAGGUCUCAUAGCAGGCAUCUACAUCCGACUCGGCGACGACGGCGAGCGGUGCCAUGCCGUCGUUGGCCAACCAAAGCGCAAUCGUCGAGGCGUCGUCCACGUGCCAGUCGGCGUGGUCCACGAGCCAGCGCACGGCAUCGGUGCGACCGUGCUUGGCCGCCACGCGGAGGUGGUGGGGCCGAAAGCGUACCCCACGGCGGUGGCGCAUAUAGUCGAGCACGCGCACGGGGUCGUCCAAGAGCACGGCCUCGUCGGGCGUCAGGGUCUUGGACAGGAGGCGCGCCCGUGCCCGCGCCUUGGAACAGACCCAAAACAGGCGCGACGCCACCAUGCACGCACCAAAGUCGCGGUCGUCGAGCGAGUCGACAAUGGCCUCGAUCACCGAGUCGGGAAUGUGCUUGAGACGGGCGACCACAGUGGUCUCGCCGUUUUUGUGCGGAUCACUUGCGACCGACGACAGAGGAGACACAUCAAGGUGGUCCACGUCGGCACGUUGACGCUUUCGUCCAGGCAUCAUUGGGGCCAACGGAUCACAUCCGUCGUGGGCGGAACCGCGCUUGCGAUCGGUAGCGGACAUGAUCUCGGCAAAAAAAUGGAGACACAACAGAGCGCACACAGCCCGACAAGUAUUUAAAAAAACUGGAGGAACAAAAGAAGAGAGUCUUGACGGGCGAGUGCGCUCGCCCACGCAAAAGCGACCAACACCAACCGGUAACCUUUUUUUUGCUCGAAAUUAUAUAUUCGGGUUUUCUUUUUGAAAAAAAAAGGUUUGACC